CAAAAGAUCUGCUUCAACCUUCCCCAGUUAAUCUUUUGCCAGAAGAUUCACAAUCUGAAUGUGGCUCAAUAUAAAGAAAUCCUUCAGUCAAGUUUCCAUAAAGACCCUCUUUCCUGCUUCUGGCUGAGCUCCUACUAAAAAGAAGAUUAAUGUGGAAAUUAAUCUAAUCCAGGAUUAAGAGUAGAAGACUUACUUAAACUGGGCAAUUUUCUGUCAAUUUGAUUGUAAUAAAUAUUUUGCAUUUAAGAGUU
ensembl:lncRNA PLCB1-IT1 PLCB1 intronic transcript 1